CAGUCGAGCGGAACGAGUUAUCUGAACCUUCGGGGGACGAUAACGGCGUCGAGCGGCGGACGGGUGAGUAAUGCCUAGGAAAUUGCCCUGAUGUGGGGGAUAACCAUUGGAAACGAUGGCUAAUACCGCAUGAUGCCUACGGGCCAAAGAGGGGGACCUUCGGGCCUCUCGCGUCAGGAUAUGCCUAGGUGGGAUUAGCUAGUUGGUGAGGUAAGGGCUCACCAAGGCGACGAUCCCUAGCUGGUCUGAGAGGAUGAUCAGCCACACUGGAACUGAGACACGGUCCAGACUCCUACGGGAGGCAGCAGUGGGGAAUAUUGCACAAUGGGCGCAAGCCUGAUGCAGCCAUGCCGCGUGUAUGAAGAAGGCCUUCGGGUUGUAAAGUACUUUCAGUCGUGAGGAAGGCGGCGUCGUUAAUAGCGGCGUUGUUUGACGUUAGCGACAGAAGAAGCACCGGCUAACUCCGUGCCAGC
rnacentral:rRNA from 2 species